AUGUUUCCCGAGAGAGACUACCUUCUCUCAGGCCAGCAGUCUUAUACUUAUAGUCGACUGCUCAAUGACGAUCUGACCUCUUUCCUGGGCUCUGCUUGAUCGUCUACGCUCCGACCAAUUCAGUCAAAAUCGAAAAAACGAUGUUUCCUUGAAAAAGUCUAA
rnacentral:rRNA from 1 species